rnacentral:rRNA from 1 species
CCCUUAGAUGUCCUGAGCUGCACGCGCGCUACACUGAUGUGUCCAGUAAGCACCUAACCUCUUCCGAAAGGAACGGGUAACCUUUGCAAAGCACAUCGUGAUGGGGAUAGAUUAUUGCAAUUAUUAGUCUUGAACGAGGAAUUCCUAGUAAGCACAAGUCAUCAGCUUGUGUUGAUUACGUCCCUGCCCUUUGUACACACCGCCCGUCGCUCCUACCGAUUGAAUGUUCCGGUGAGCUCUUCGGACUGCGCGGUCUGCAGUUUCUGCGUUCCGUGCGGAAAGUUGCGCAAACCUUAACAUUUAGAGGAAGGAGAAGUCGUAACA